GACGAACGCUGGCGGCGUGCUUAACACAUGCAAGUCGAACGGGCCUGUCCUGGUUUUUACUGGGGUGGGUUAGUGGCGAACGGGUGAGUAACACGUGAGUAACCUGCCCCUCACUUCUGGAUAACCGCUUGAAAGGGUGGCUAAUACGGGGUGUUCUGGCUGUGCCGCAUGGUGUGGUUGGGAAAGAUUCACUAUUUGUUUGGUGUUUUGGUGGGGGAUGGGCUCGCGGCCUAUCAGCUUGUUGGUGGGGUGAUGGCCUGCCAAGGCUUUGACGGGUAGCCGGCCUGAGAGGGUGGGCGGUCACACUGGGACUGAGACACGGCCCAGACUCCUGCGGGAGGCAGCAGUGGGGGAUAUUGCACAAUGGGCGGAAGUCUGAUGCAGCGACGUCGCGUGAGGGAUGGAGGCCUUCGGGUUGUGAACCUCUUUCGCCGGUGAAGAAGGUCCUGCUUUUUGGGUGGGGUUGACGGUAGCCGGGUUAUGAAGCGCCGGCUAACUACGUGCCAGCAGCCGCGGUAAUACGUAGGGCGCGAGCGUUGUCCGGAAUUAUUGGGCGUAAAGGGCUUGUAGGCGGCUGGUCGCGUCUGCCGUGAAAUCCUCUGGCUCAGCUGGGGGCGUGCGGUGGGUACGGGCUGGCUUGAGUGCGGUAGGGGAGGCUGGAACUCCUGGUGUAGCGGUGGAAUGCGCAGAUAUCAGGAGGAACACCGGUGGCGAAGGCGGGUCUCUGGGCCGUUACUGACGCUGAGGAGCGAAAGCGUGGGGAGCGAACAGG
rnacentral:rRNA from 1 species